GGCGGCGGCGGCUCCUCGCCGAGACUCCCCAGGACCCGGGCUGCCCUGAUCCCGGCGGCGGCGGCGGCCAGCCAGGAUAAUGGCCCAAGCAGCAACACCAGCGUUGUCAGUCCAUGAUGAGGACUCCUCUGAAAGCAGAAUGGUGGUUACAUUCCUCAUGUCAGCACUUGAGUCAAUGUGUAAAGAACUUGCGAAGUCCAAGGCAGAAGUCGCCUGUAUUGCUGUGUACGAAACAGAUGUGUUUGUAGUUGGAACUGAGAGGGGAAGAGCUUUUGUCAAUACAAGGAAAGAUUUUCAGAAGGAUUUUGUUAAAUACUGUGUCUCUGAAGAGGAAAAGGCAGCUGAACUGCAGAAAACAAAGACUACGUCACUUGUAAACAGGCUGACAGUGGAUAUUGUAGAAAUGGAAGCUCUCCGAAAGUCUGUAGAGGAUUUCUUCUGCUUUUGUUAUGGUAAAGCUUUAGGGAAGUCAACGGUAGUCCCUGUGCCAUAUGACAAGAUUCAAAGGGACCAGUCUGCAGUGGUAGUGCAGGGCCUUCCUGAAGGACUUGCAUUUAAACAUCCAGCAAAUUAUGAUGUGACAACACUGAAAUGGAUUUUGGAAAACAAAUCAGGGAUCUCAUUUGUGAUCAAAAGGCCUUUCCUAGAGCCAAAGAAACACCUAGGAGCUCAUGUGACUGUUACAGAUUCUACACGCACAGUUACACCACCAAGUGGAAGUGGCCCUCCUGUCCAAGUAAAAACAGAGCCAAAUGAGGAUUCUGGAAUUUCACUAGAGAUGGCAACAGUAACAGUAAAAGAGGAAUCGGAGGAUCCUGACUACUAUCAGUAUAAUAUUCCAGCAGGCCCUUCAGAAACUUCAGAAAUUGAUGAAAAAAUUGCUCUUGCAAAGAAGUACACAGGAAGCCACCAGGGUUCCGAUUGCAGUGAAGGAACAGAUGUGGAAGUACCAGUAGAAGAUUCUUCUCAGCAUGCCCCUUCUGAGACAAGUGAGGACCCUGAAGUUGAGGUUACCAUUGAAGAUGAUGAGGACUACUUACCACCCAACAAGAGACCGAAGAACACUGAGUCAGCAAAUGAGGCUGCCAAUGCUGGGAGAAGAAAAGUGAGAGAAUUCAAUUUUGAGAAAUGGAAUGCCCGAAUUACAGACUUGAGAAAGCAGGUUGAAGAAUUAUUUGAAAGAAAAUAUGCUCAAGCUAUAAAAGCAAAAGGUCCAGUGUCUAUCCCGUACCCGCUUUUCCAGUCGCAUGUAGAAGACUUGUAUGUGGAAGGACUUCCAGAAGGAAUUCCCUUCAGGAGGCCAUCUACCUAUGGGAUCCCACGCCUUGAGAGGAUACUGCUGGCCAAGGAGCGGAUACGGUUUGUGAUUAAGAAACAUGAGCUUUUGAAUUCAACACGAGAAGAUGCACCGCUGGACAAACCAGCUGCAGGAGUGAAAGAAGAGUGGUAUGCCCGAAUCACCAAAUUAAGGAAGAUGGUAGAUCAACUUUUCUGUAAAAAAUUUGCUGAGGCCCUAGGGAGCACUGAGCCGAAGGCUGUCCCAUACCAGAAAUUUGAGGCACAUCCCAGUGAUCUCUAUGUGGAGGGUCUGCCAGAGAACAUUCCAUUUAGGAGUCCAUCCUGGUAUGGAAUCCCUCGGCUGGAAAAGAUUAUUCAAGUGGGCAACAGAAUAAAAUUUGUAAUCAAAAGGCCAGAACUACUAACUCUCAGUCCGACAGAAGUUACUCAACCAAGAUCUAAUACGCCAGUCAAAGAAGAUUGGAAUGUCAGAAUCACAAAACUAAGGAAGCAAGUGGAAGAGAUAUUUAAUCUGAAAUUUGCCCAAGCCCUGGGGCUUUCAGAGGCAGUGAAGGUUCCCUACCCUGUGUUUGAAUCGAACCCUGAGUACUUGUAUGUGGAAGGCUUGCCAGAAGGAAUCCCCUUCCGGAGUCCCACGUGGUUCGGAAUUCCACGCCUUGAAAGAAUUGUCCGUGGAAGUGGCAAAAUCAAAUUUAUUGUUAAAAAGCCAGAGCUGGUCACUUCUUAUUUGCCUGCUGGAUUGGCUAGUAAAGUAAACACUAAAGCAUUGAGUCCAAAGAGUUCAAAGAGAGCAAGAAGUCCUGCAAGCAAUUCAAAGGUUCCAGAGAUUGAGGUGACCGUUGAAGAAGGUCCUAAUAAACCACAAACAACAGAUGUUCGAACUAAUUCUCAAACCAAUGGAUCCAAUAUGGGCUUCAAGCCACGAGGAAGAGAGUUUUCUUUUGAGGCUUGGAAUGCCAAAAUUACUGACCUAAAACAAAAAGUUGAAAAUCUUUUUAAUGAAAAAUGUGGGGAAGCUCUGGGGCUUAAAGAUCCUGUCAAGGUCCCAUUUGCGUUAUUUGAAUCCUACCCAGAGGAUUUCUAUGUGGAAGGACUACCUGAAGGGGUGCCAUUCCGCCGACCAUCUACUUUUGGCAUUCCAAGAUUGGAGAAGAUCCUGCGAAACAAAUCUAAGAUAAAAUUUAUCAUAAAAAAGCCUGAGAUGUUUGAGGCAGCGAUUAAGGAAAGCUCUGCUAAAAGUCCCCAGAGAAAAACCAGUUCAUCCAAUACAUCAAAUACAACAAGCACCACAACAAAGCCAGUGGUGAACACAGCCGCAGGGGUUGAAGAUCUUAACAUCAUUCAAGUGACUAUACCAGAUGAUGAAAGUGAAAGAUUAUCCAAAGUAGAAAAGGCUCGACAACUGAGAGAACAAGUAAAUGACCUCUUCAGCAGGAAGUUUGGUGAAGCAAUCGGUAUGAAUUUCCCUGUGAAAGUCCCAUACAGAAAAAUCACCAUAAACCCUGGCUGUGUGGUGGUGGAUGGAAUGCCUCCUGGAGUGGCAUUUAAAGCUCCCAGUUAUCUGGAAAUCAGCUCCAUGAGAAGGAUUUUGGAAUCAGCAGAGUUUAUCAAAUUUACUGUCAUUCGGCCUUUUCCAGGACUUGUGAUUAACAACCAGUUGAUGGAGAAAACUGAAUCAGAAACACCAGCCAAGGCACCAGCACCGGCUCCGGCUCCAGCUCCAGCUCCGGCACCGGCACCAGUAGUACAAGAGCCAGCUGAACCAAGCCAAAUAGAAGUAUCUGUAGAAGAUGUAGCAGAAACGGAAGAAAGUUCUCAAAUAAAACAGGAGCCAGAUCCAACGUGGUAGACCUUAUCAAUAUUAGGAAAAAUCUCAGUUCAAGUUUUGGGACAAAGAUUCAGGUCAGAAGCAUGCAGUCCGGAGAAGAGCUUGCUGGGACUGUCCUGAGCUGUGUAAUAUAAUUGUAUAAGAGAAGUACCUUCUAUACAAACCCUUUUUGUACUUUUAGAUAGAAAUGUCUACUUUUUCAGCAGUUCUGUGAAUUGACUUAAAGCAAAGAGUGACUGUAGAUUUGGAAAGGUUGAUUAUAUAUUAUAAGGAUUAAAUUUGAGGCAGCAAUGCUGAAAAAAUGACAGGGAUUAAUUCAGAUUUUAAAAAAAUCAACAGGAAUUUAGACGCCGUCUACAUUUCCCAGUAAAGUAGAAUUGUACUGUGCCUGGAUGCAUCUCAGCUUUUGCGAUGAAGAAAAAUACCUACAGUAGUUCAUUAAUUUUCUGUUUUUGGAAAAAAAAAAUAAUGAUUUUUGGUUCUUUCUCCUUAAUGGCUGAUUGGACAAUACUAUCUGUAUAUUUGAACUAAUUUUUCCUAUGAUAUCUAUCUCAAUUCAUAUGUUUUUCAUAAAUAAAGAUGAACUCGUUCACCUGACCGUUAGUAUGCAUUAAUAAAGUGGACUAUGAAAAGGUCAGUAUCUCAGUGUGUGGAUGAGGAACAAAUUUAAAUUGAGCCCUUCUUCUAUUUUGUUCCAUUAUUUCAAAGUAAAGAGUGUAUGUUUUAUCAGGACAUCAUACGGUUUAUGUAAGAGAAGGGUCCAGUCUUGCAGUCCUAAUGCAGGCAAAACUCCCAUUGACUUAUGUGAUAGUUUUACAUGAGGACUGCUGGAUGAUGCCCUUUAAUUCGUUUAGAACCAGUUAUGGACACUUAAGCAACUAAGCUGUUGUAAGACCUAGUAUGUUGAGAGUUAACUUACCUGUAGUCUUUUCUGAUUGCUCCCCACAUCUUGUAAAAGACAAAUGUAAGCGUUUUAAAAUUUAACGAACCAUAAGAGAUGUAAAAUGCUGGCUAUGUGAUAAGCUCUAUAGAGUAAAUAUGGAGUAUUGUAAAAAUUUCUUUUUGGGGAUGACUGCAUUAUGCACAAAUGGGCAAAUCUUAUUUCCAGGUUGCAGAAAGAAAUAAAUUUCUCAUGGUUUUCACGA